rnacentral:rRNA from 1 species
CGGCGGACGGGUGAGUAAUGCCUAGGAAUCUGCCUGGUAGUGGGGGACAACGUUUCGAAAGGAACGCUAAUACCGCAUACGUCCUACGGGUGAAAGCAGGGGAUCUUCGGACCUUGCGCGAUUGAAUGAGCCGAUGUCGGAUUAGCUAGUUGGCGGGGUAAAGGCCCACCAAGGCGACGAUCCGUAGCUGGUCUGAGAGGAUGAUCAGCCACACUGGAACUGAGACACGGUCCAGACUCCUACGGGAGGCAGCAGCC